AAGCGUUGAAGCAUAAUAGCGUACCGGGAUGCCUUGUUAUGCAGAGCUUUCAGUARGGGUUGUGCAGUAACCUCAAACCGGAGUAGGCUGCAAAGCCGAAAGAAAUAGCUCAAA
rnacentral:ncRNA from 12 species